AGGAUGAAAUCCAUGCUGGAGAAAUACACAGCUGAAAUAAGGUGCCAGUGGGCAGAGACUGAUUCCCUCCAAGCAAAUAAUUUCAUUUGGGACUUAAGCAUACCCUCCUUUAGAAUGCACAUUGAGGCACUUUGCUCAGUUGCAGCCAGACAAGUUCCCUCAAACCAACACUGUACAACAAAGUAUUCCAGCUUCCUCCCUGCAAUGAGAGUUUUCCAUAUGUUUCAGAGUGCUGCUAUGCUGCAUGGACUCCAAAUUCUGCUCUCCAGGCUCAAUACAAGGAGGCACUGGUUGAUUAGUGAGGUUAAUCACUCUAACACGGCAUCAGGGAAUUGUGCAGCUUUGCAGUUCCAGAAGAUCUGCACUUCUAAUAGGUAAAGAAGAAUGCUAUGUUCCAGCCAUUGAUCUACUGGAGUGCUGAACACAACCCCAUCAGCAUUGCCAGAUUUUCAGCACUGACAUCUCCAUGCAGGUGCUACACGUGGGAAGUGUGUGGUCAUAGUUUCAGCUUUGCAGAGAGAACUAAUUGACUUUCACACAGGAUGUUGAUAUUUCGAAAUCUGGGUUUAUUCCAGUUUGGAACAAAAGCCAAACAUUUCAUAACUGUCUGUGAAAUGCAAUAAAGCUUCAGCGUGGGAGCAGGUCAUCUCCUAGGCUUCCCCAGAGCAUUGGUCCUGUGAGCACUGAGAUCUCCUGAGCCAGGCUAGGGGGGUUGCCCUGGAAGGCUUUUCCUCACUGACCUGCUCCAGAGCAGCAGCACCCUUAACUGCUGGAGUCCCAGCUGCUGAGCAGCUCCCAGGCUGCCGGGCAUCUAGGAGAACCAGAGGAAAAUCCCAGUGUCACUGCAAAACAUACCAAUUUGUCUGAACUGGCAAAUUCCUACCAGAAAAUGUUUUGUCAGAAAUUUUCUAGUCUGUUCCAUUGGUAAUUCAAGGCUUGUGUUUACUGUAAAGGAGAUUACUGUACUGUCUAGCAUGCUCCAGGGUAACAGUAAUAGUGCUGUCAUUUGGGUAUUAAAAAGGGGUGGUGGUGAGGGAGAAUAUUAGGAGAUUGCCUGAUACCUCUCCACCCCAACUUCAAAGCAUAUAAAAUACCAGGUGAAAUUCCUCUUGCUUUAGAAUCCCUUCCCAUACCUCAAUUGAAGGUUAAAACUGCCUAUGACAUGCCUAUGACACUGGCACAAGAUUCUAACGAGAAGCAGCAUCAGAAACUGUACCAGUCCAAGGCAGGAGCAGUAACGAGAAUGGCCUGGGCCAGAGCAGACAGCCAGCAGCCUGAAGCCUGGUAUUGCUGAGUGGUUUCUGCAACACAGGACAGAAGUUCCUCUCUAGUGGUAGCAACGAAAAACCGUUUCAGUGUGUCAAAAAGAAUUAAAAACAACUUCUGCUUAACUGGUUCUCAUAUUUUUACAAACUUCUAAUGUCACUUCAUCUUAAUUGAUAUUUAGGAGUGAUGGUUAUGAACAUUUGAAUGAGUGUUUUCUCCUGACAAAGUACAAAAGGCCAGAUUUGGCCUUCAGAACCAUGCAGUUCCUUCCAUGUUCCUUUUAACCUUUUUUUUGUUGCUGCUGAUACAUUGUCAAGAGAGAACAAUAGAGCAUGGAGUGCACGGAUCUGUGAGAUGCACAGAAAAUUCCUCACAGACUGCUUAAUGGAAUCCUUUGCUUUUUUGUUUUCUGUUAAAAAGUGAAAAAUAGUAAGAUGAAACUUUUAAAAAUAGAAGAUUAGGUUUUCAAUCAAAUAAAUGUGGCAGAGAAAAGU